rnacentral:lncRNA from 13 species
UUCUUCCACACCAAACUGUUUCUGUAUGGACCUUNNNNNNNNNNCAUUGUGGCCAGUCGUGGCGCUUGAUGAAGCAUUGUGGCCAGUUGCUUCAGCUAAUGUAUUUGGGCCAGUCGUGACGCUUGCAGAAGCAUUGUGGGUGGCUGCUUCUGAGGCACGGGAUCCGGUUGCUCCACCUAAGGUAUUUGGGCCAGUCGUGACGCUUGAUGAAGCGUUGUGGCCUGUUGCUUCAAAGGUAUUUUGGCCAGUAGCCACACCUGCCGAGGUAUUUUGGGUGGCCGCUUGCACGGCACUGUGGCCAGUUGCUUCAGCUAAUGUAUUUGGGCCAGUCGUGACGCUUGCAGAGGCAUUAUGGGUGGCUGCUUCACCUGCCGAGACACGGGAGCCGGUAGCUUCACCUGCAUUGUGGCCAGUUCCUUUUAAUUGAUUUUGGGGAAUAUAUCUAUAAUUACCUACGAAAGAAAAGAAAGUUACAUAUCGUAAAAUGCCAGCAUUUGAAGUUCUGCUAUUUAUACAGUGUUACUUUUACUGAAUUAAAUGUGCAGAACAAAACACACCUUUAGGUGGAGGAUAACAGGUUAUCCCUCCAAUUAGCAGGCAACAAAUCCAAGAAAUUCUAAAUAAAAAUAAAAACAUCCUAGUCAGUUAAAUACCUUUAAAACAUGGAAGACAAGGGAAUCAAACUAGAGCCAUACAACUUACCUCAAAGACAUUUCAAAACUCACAGCCAUUUUUCUCAUCAAAUCCUCAGUAUUCAGAACUAAUGGUAGCCAGAAGCCUUACCAGGAGAUCCCUGAUAUUGUAUCUGAUUGUCUUUUUUGCUGCGCCUUACAAAGGAAUCCUAGCCCCUUCUAAUCUGGCUGGUUAAUUAGGUACAUCUGCAAGCCACUGAACAUAAUUUCCAUUGGUCCAAUUUCCCAAUUGGGAUUAGGUGCGCUUGAUUUCAGUCAGCUGGUGUACUGGAGGGUUUGCGCAUUCAUGGACAAAUCCAAUGGUUUUAAAGAGUGAACUCUAUCUACCCAGUGCACUGGGUGAGCUUAAUCAAGUGCACCUUCAUUUCAUGCUAACUAAGAUCCUGCCAGGGGCUUUUGCAGGUGCAACCUCAGUCGUCCGGUAGAAGUGUGUUGUGCAAAAGUAUAUUUUAGAUUUUUCAAAGUAGCCUCACUUCACCUUGAUGACAGCUUUGCACACUCUUGGCAUUCUCUCAACCAGCUUCAUCUGGAAUGCUUUUCCAACAAGUCUUGAACCAGUUCCCACAUGUGCUGAGCACUUGUUGGCUGCUUUUCCUUCACUCUAUGGUCCAACUCAUGCCAAAGCAUCUCAAUUGGGUUGAGGUCGGGUGAUUGUGGAGGCCAGGUCAUCUGAUGCAGCCCUCCAUCACUCUCCUUCUUGGCCAAAUAGACCUUACACAGCCUGGAGAUGUGUUGGGUCAUUUGUCCUAUUGAAAAACAAGCGAUAGUCCCACUAAGCGCAAACCAGAUGGGAUGGCGUAUAGCUACAGAAUGUUGUGGUAGCCACUGUACCUUGAAUUCUAAAUAAGUCACAGACCGCGUCACCAGCAAAGCACCCCCACACCAUCACACCUCAUCCUCCAUGCUUCAUGGUGGGAACCAGACAUGCGGAAAUCAUCCGUUCACCUACUCUGCGUCUCACAAAGAAUGCAUAUACAAUUUCAUCCCGUAUCAUGAGUCUUUGGCCAAACAGGCAGUCGACUACAGCAGGCAAAUGUGCUAAUUUGUGUCAAUGUUUGUGAAUGAGUUCCAUAUGACACAUUAUGCUAGCUAAGCUUCCCUGCUAGUGCCUUGCCGGCUUCAUCAUUGGAACUUAAAUGGAUUCAUUUAAGGUCUGAGUUCUCAUACUAUGUAGUUAGAUGAUUUCACCAACAAUACUUGGUUUAGAAAAAUUGACUUGUUCUUAUUUUUUUUAUUUCGCCUUCAUUUAAUUAACCAGUUAGGCCAGUUGAGAACAAGUUCUCAUUAACAACUGCGACCUGGCCAAGAUAAAGCAAAGCAGUGCGACAAAAACAACCACACAGAUACACAUGGGAUAAACAAACGUACAGUCAAUAACACAAUAGAAAAAUAUGUAUACAAUGUGUGCAAAUGAAGUAAGGAGGUACGGCAAUAAAUAGGCCAAUAGUGGCGAAGUAAUGACAAUUUAGCAAUUUACACUGGAGUGAUAUGCAGUGGGGCAAAAAAGUAUUUAGUCAGCCACCAAUUGUGCAAGUUCUCCCACUUAAAAAGAUGAGAGAGGCCUGUAAUUUUCAUCAUAGGUACACUUCAACUAUGACAGACAAAAUGAGAAAACAAAAUCCAGAAAAUCACAUUGUAGGAUGUUAAUUCAUGUUAAUUAAUUUCCUGCCAGGGGCUUUUGCAGGUGCAACCUCAGUGGUCCGGUAGAAGUGUGUUGUGCAAAAAUAUAUUUUAGAUUUUUCAAAGUAGCCUCACUUGCCUUGAUGACAGCUUUGCACACUCUUGGCAUUCUCUCAACCAGCUUUACCUGGAAUGCUUUUCAAACAGUCUUGAAGGAGUUACCACAUUUGCUGAGCACUUCUUGGCUGUUUUUCCUUCACUCCGUGGUCCAACUCAUGCCAAACCAUCUCAAUUGGGUUGAGGUCGGGUGAUUGUGUAGACCAGGUCUUCUGAUGCAGCACUCCAUCACUCGACGUCUUGGUCUAAUAGACCUUACACAGUCUGGAGGUGUGUUGGGUCAUUUUCCUAUUGAAAAACAAACGAUAGUCCCGCUAAGCACAAACCAGAUGGGAUGGGGUAUCGCUGCUGAAUGUUGUGGCUGCCAUUCUGGUAAAAUGUGUCUUGAGUUCUAAAUAUAUCACAGACAGUGUCACCAGCAAAACACCAUCACACCUCGUCCUCCAUGCUUCAAGGUGGGAACCAGACAUGUGGAGAUCAUCCGUUCACCUACUCUGUGUCUCAUAAAGACACGGCGGUUGGACCCAAAAAUCCCAAAUUUGGACGCAUUAGACCAAUGGACAGAUUUCCACCGGUCUAAUGUCCAUUGCUCGUGUUUCUUGGCCCAAGCAAGGCUCUUCUUAUUGGUGUCCUUUGAUGGUGGUUUCUUUGCAGCAAUUCGACCAUGAAGGCCAGAUUCACGCAGUCUCCUCUGAACACUUGAUGUUGAGAUGUGUCUGUUACUUGACCUCUGUGAAGCAUUUAUUUGGGCUGCAAUUUUUGAGUCUGGUCACUCUCAUGACUCUCAUGAUCUUCCGCAGAGGUAACUCUAGC